rnacentral:snRNA from 1 species
GUGCACAUUUUGGCAGUACAUAUACUAAACUUGGAACAAUAGAGAGAAGAUUAGCAUGGUUCCUGAAAGAUGAUGACAUGCAAAUUCAUGAAGUGUUUCAUAUUUUA